AGAGCGAUGACAAUUUCUCUCCAGCCAGAGCCUGUUUGUUUGGAAAUUGGAACUGAACAGAUCAAUGAAGGCACAUGACAUGAUACGCUGAUCCAAGGAAAUCACAGUGCCGAUUCUACUUAAGAAUCUUGUACAACGAUGGUCAUUCAGUAACGGUUUUUGCUACAAAUCUCAAAAUCGGAUCUCCAAGUUCCUUCAUUUGAGCUCUCUUUGCUCAUUCGUGCUGCAAUGAAUGCUUUGUUUAGGUUGAUAAGAUAUCGAGGUGACAUAAAACCUCUGUCCAUGGUGGUGAAGUUUUGGCAGAAUAGGCAUGGUGAUGAAAUUCUUUCUAUUGCCAACAUCGCCCAGGUAUUCGUCCUUCUUAUCCUUUUAAAUUUGUGAUGCUUCUCUACGCAUUUUCCAUUGUGCCUAAUGUUUAGAUCCAAACACAGUCUUUGUAGAAUGAAAUGAUACCUCUUUCAAGGUUGGCCCCAGGUGUACCCUGUCUCUCCACUGAGUCUCAUAUUUGAACACUUGCAAAGAGAUUAUUAUGAAGGGUAUCCACUUUCAGCUAAAUUUUUUAUAAUGGGUGGCAGUAGUCAGUCACUCUCUCAACAAGACAGAAAAGACAGCAGAAAAAUCUUUAGUUUGAUCAUUUGACAGAGCAUAAAAGGUGGGAAACAAUCUUGGUCCACCCUGCUGAUUCUAAACCCUACAAUAAAUCCUUGGUCAAAGCACUUUUCAUAAUAAAAGGUUAAUUGGCUUUGCUAUGAGCAUGAUUAAGAAAGUAGGGGUUUAGCACCUAGUCCAAGCCUCACCAAAUGUUGUGAUGAAAUCAGCGUGGUGGUAAUUCUAUUUAGAGGGGAGGAACAAUGUUUUAACAUUUUAUCAAUCUGUUGAGGAUCUGUCUAAUCAAAACUGUGGCCUUGGUGUUUGGCUUCAUUUAAAUGGUGCCCAACAUGAUGGUUUCAUCUGAAUGAAGGGUGCGAAAAGAGAGUUGAUGCUAAUAGCCUCUUUGAUUUUGAAUGACCCUUCAUGUUUAGUAUAUGAUGCAAGCAUUUAUAUUAGAGGUAAUCAUGAUUUGCUACCAGCUCUUCAAUUUUUUAAACAUUCUUGUCUCAGAUAUGUGUGACCAUUAUUAGUGAGUUUCAUCCAAAUCCACAAAUAUUCCUUCCCCAUUGACACCACAACAUCUGAGUUGCUUGUUAUAGCAGCAAGUUCCAUUUAUGACUGGCAUCCAUUACUGAUCUCCAAAAAAGGAAAAAAAACUUUGGAAUUAUCUUGGAGUCCUGACUAGUAGAGUAUCAUUUCUACCCAAAGCCAUGCUGGGUUUGAGUUCUUGAGCCCUGUGACAUCUAUCAUAAAUUGGCCAAAAAAAAAAGAAAUUUAUCAGACCUUUUCAAUAAGGUAAGUUACACAUUUGCGUAGUUCAAUGUAUGGUUAAUCAUCAUAUUUUUGUAUUUACUGCCAUAGCACUGUGAAAUCUAAAUCACCCUAGUUAUAGGCCAACAAUUAUAUACCUCCAAGGACUGCAUGAAAAUUCUUGAAGAAACAGAGCAAAACUACAGUCGAUACAAUAUUACCGUUUCUUUACCAGUGCUGAACAAGUUGUCUCUCAUUUCUUCAGUGGUAUAUUGAAUAAGUAAAAAAUCAUUACAAUAUUGUGACUUAGUACAAGUGGUCAUGAACUUCUGAAUUGUAUACAGUAUGAAAGAAAUAUCUCUCAAUUAGUUGUCAGGAUAAAAGGUUCAUAUUGUAAAACGAACUCCUCCUUCCUUGCGUCUUCAUGUUAACUUGAGCAUUUCAUAAUGUGCUUUCGGUUUGCUUUACCUGCAAAAUACACAAGGAUUGUGUGAGUGUGAAACGACUUUCCUUUUUUAUUUUCUAAACUUUGAUAUUAUUGUUCUCAAUUAGUAGACUGCCUUUUAGAACACUCAAAAGUUCUUCUGAUCCACAUAUGGCCAAUCUGCUGCCAGAUUGGAUGUGCUUGUUUUGUUCAUUAAGCCAAAACAUAUGGUGGAAUUAAGGAUGCACGAGCAUGUGCUUAUGUGAGGGUGACUUGAAUUAUUACAUAGUUUAUAGCAUGGCUGUUUGAAUGCUGGAUCUUCAGUUAUUGCCGGAGGCUCCUGACCAAAUAUCAUCUCACAGCUCAUAUCAUCAAAAUCUACAAAAUCAGACAGCAAACCAUUAGUAACUUAGCUGCAGUAGACAGAUCCCCUUCAUUUAAAUCAUCGUGUGUUGAUUGCAAAAUUUUAACAGUGGUGGCCCUGCACUCAGCUAAUGAUUGGCACGUGGGAAUGUGACUAACGUUCAACUUAGGUGCUUGUUGUCAUGAUAUAUGGGAGCAGGUUAAGGAUCAUGAUUGGUUUCAUGGGAAACAGGUGAAAAUUAGCGGAUUGUAUUGAAUUUGGACGACUUGGUGGCACCAAUCAUGGAAUCAUAUAUUUUUAAUUAAUGUUCACUAAUUCAGUUUUGCACCCUUAGUGGUUAUGCUUGGGCCCCCCUUGGGGCCCUCCAUUGACAUGAUGAGCAUGGCUUCCACAUUCUCUAGUGCAGUUACUAUUACUCCUUGAAGUAUAUCCCUUUGUAUUUUGUUCCUUUUCAAUUGCCAUGAGAGGAAAAUGGAAAAAUCGUUGUUCUAUUGGCAACUUUCUAUUCCAAUGUUCUGCACAUUAUACGCCCUUUGCAGUGCAAAACAAAAUUUGAGUAUUGAUUUCUUAUGCAGUA